AGUGAAUAGAUACCCCGGUAGUCCUAGCCGUAAACGAUACUCGCUAGGUGUCGGCCACGGUGCGACCGUUGUCGGUGCCGUAGGGAAAGCCGUGAAGCGAGCCACCUGGGAAGUACGGCCGCAAGGCUGAAACUUAAAGGAAUUGGCGGGGGAGCACCACAACGGGUGGAGCUUGCGGUUUAAUUGGAUUCAACGCCGGAAAUCCUACCGGGACCGACAGCAACAUGAAGGCCAGGCUGAAGACUUUGCCGGAUUAGCUGAGAGGUGGUGCAUGGCCGUCGUCAGUUCGUACUGUGAAAGCAUCCUGUUAAGUCAGGCAACGAGCGAGACCCACGUCCACAGUUGCCAGCGUACUCUCCGGAGUGACGGGUACACUGUGGGGACCGCCGCUGCUAAAGCGGAGGAAGGAAUGGGCAACGGUAGGUCAGUAUGCCCCGAAUAUCCCGGGCUACACGCGAGCUACAAUGGUUGGUACAAUGGGUAUCUACCCCGAAAGGGGAUGGAAAUCUCCUAAAGCCAAUCUUAGUUCGGAUUGAGGGCUGCAACUCGCCCUC
rnacentral:rRNA from 1 species